UACGUAGGGGGCAAGCGUUGUCCGGAAUCAUUGGGCGUAAAGCGCGUGUAGGCGGCUUGGUAAGUCUGCUCUGAAAGCCCGGGGCUCAACCCCGGGAGGCGGGUGGAUACUGUCAAGCUCGAGUCCGGAAGAGGAGUGUGGAAUUCCUGGUGUAGCGGUGAAAUGCGCAGAUAUCAGGAGGAACACCGGUGGUGUAAACGGCUUUCUGGACCAUAACUGACGCUGAGGCACGAAAGCGUGGGUAGCAAACAGG
rnacentral:rRNA from 1 species